rnacentral:rRNA from 1 species
CCUACGGGAGGCAGCAGUAGGGAAUCUUCCACAAUGGGCGAAAGCCUGAUGGAGCAACGCCGCGUGGGUGAAGAAGGUCUUCGGAUCGUAAAACCCUGUUGUUAGAGAAGAAAGUGCGUGAGAGUAACUGUUCACGUUUCGACGGUAUCUAACCAGAAAGCCACGGCUAACUACGUGCCAGCAGCCGCGGUAAUACGGAGGUGGCAAGCGUUAUCCGGAUUGAUUGGGCGUAACGGGGACGAAGGCGGUCGUGUAAGUCUGAUGGAAAAGCCUUAGGGUUAACCGGAGUAGUGCAUUGGAAACUGGGAGACUUGAGUGCAGAAGAGGAGAGUGGAACUCCAUGUGUAGCGGUGAAAUGCGUAGAUAUAUGGAAGAACACCAGUUGCGAAAGCGGCUCUCUGGUCUGUAACUGACGCUGAGGUUCGAAAGCGUGGGUAGCAAACAGGAGUAGAUACCCCUGUAGUC